AGAUGUGAGGGCAAUCUGGCUUCGACAUCUGUCACCCCAUUGAUAACUAGGGUUGAUUCGGCUGAUCUGGCUGGCUAGGGGGGUGUCCCCUUCUUCCUCACUACUCCAUGUGCUUCCCUCCCAAAACUGUGUACUUGGUCAAAGAGGAAGGAGGUGGGAAGGGAAGAACAGGAGGGGGGAGGAGAACAAGAGAACUGAGACAG
ensembl:misc_RNA 7SK 7SK RNA